UCAUCUUCCUCCAGCCUUUUCAUCACAUCCCGAAGCAAUUCAGGAGGAAGGCUAGCCCAAUUGCCUUGCAGGUCUGUGACAAGACUAUCCUGCAGCUCACUUGCAGAUUCAAGCGAUUUCCCUCUGUAAUGGCCCGAAAGGCUUGGGACGCUCGAAAUUUUCGCCUCAAAAUUCCGCCUUGACAGGUUUCCAAAGCUCUCCCGGAAAUCACGAACUAUGCUGCGCAAAGUCAUCUUUGGACUUGGUGCAAAUCUU
rnacentral:lncRNA from 1 species